ncrna:unclassified sequences L31-Actinobacteria ribosomal protein leader
UCGGUCCCGGUUCACGUCUGUUGCUCGCAGGUCAUGCGCAGGCGACCCGGCGGCC